rnacentral:rRNA from 1 species
AUAACUUCUCGAAUCGCAUGGCCUUGCGCCGGCGAUGGUUCAUUCAAAUUUCUUCCCUAUCAACUUUCGAUGUUUGGGUAUUGGCCAAACAUGGUUGCAACGGGUAACGGAGGGUUAGGGCUCGACCCCGGAGAAGGAGCCUGAGAAACGGCUACUACAUCCAAGGAAGGCAGCAGGCGCGCAAAUUACCCAAUCCCGACUCGGGGAGGUAGUGACAAUAAAUACUGAUACAGGGUUCUUUUGGAUCUUGUAAUUGGAAUGAGUACAAUUUAAAUCCCUUAACGAGGAACAAUUGGAGGGCAAGUCUGGUGCCAGCAGCCGCGGUAAUUCCAGCUCCAAUAGCGUAUAUUAAAGUUGUUGUGGUUAAAAAGCUCGUAGUUGAACCUUGGGCCUGGCUGGCCGGUCCGCCUCACCGCGUGUACUGGUCCGGCCGGGCCUUUCCCUCUGUGGAACCCUAUGCCCUUCACUGGGUGUAGCGGGGAA